GCAGCAUCUUUGUUCAUCUUUGUGGGCCGCUGUGUUCAGAACCAACACAUCAGAACUUCAGAGGAAAUGUUCCCUCCUUCAUUCACUCUGGAUGUUUCUACAGACCUGGAACAGGAUUCUAGUUCAGACCUGAAAAGGUUUCACCCUCAGUUUUAGCUUCAUUCUCUGAAGAAACCAGAACUUCUCCAGAUGGUUCUGAGGAGAUCACCCAGCAGACAUCAGGAGGUGCAUGAAGUAGUGAAGGAGAGGACAAUCCAGACCCAGAUGGUACCUGCUGAACUCAGGCUGACUGAAGUCCAGGAGAUGGAGAACAAAGCAGAACCUCCGGGAUCCAGCUGUCCGUCUAUGAGGAGUGACAGGUCCAAAGGAGAUGUUCCAUUGUUCAGUGCAGAACCUGGACCCUCAGACUCAGAACCAGGACCUGGACUGCUGGCAGCCAAUCAGAGCAGCUGUGCUCCAGGUGAGACUGAACAUCUCCAAUCAGAACUUCCUUCUAUCGUCUCUGUUGGACUAAUUCCUCGUCUUUAGUUGGC